CACUGACAUUAGAUACCCGUGUAGUCCAGGGUGUAAACGCUGCAGACUUGGUGUUGGAGGCCCUUUGGGGGCAUUCAGUGCCGGAGAGAAGUUGUUAAGUCUGCUACUUGGGGAGUACGUCCGCAAGGAUGAAACUUAAAGGAAUUGGCGGGGAGCACCGCAACGGGAGGAGCGUGCGGUUUAAUUGGAUUCAACACCGUAAACUCACCAGGGAAGACUGUUACAUGAAGGCCGAGAUGAAGACUCUGCUAGAUUUUCAG
rnacentral:rRNA from 1 species